rnacentral:misc_RNA from 1 species
GUGAAUCAUCGAAUCUUUGAACGCAAAUUGCACUCUCUUCGGAGAGUAUGCCAGUUUGCGGGUCAGAAUUAAUAAAAAUCGGUGUGUUGAUUCUUUGUGACGCUCUGGAGUUUGGGACAUCUUAAUAACCUUUAGGUUUUAAGAGGAUUAAAAUUGACUUUUUUUGCGCAUUUUAGCUGAAUAUAAUUUCUUUUUUUUAUUCGUCUGUUUUAUUACUCGAAGUA